UCCUUCAGAAGCAUAACUGCCUGUGUGGG
rnacentral:piRNA from 1 species